rnacentral:rRNA from 1 species
UGGGGAAUAUCGCGCAAUGGCCGAAAGGCUGACGCAGCGACGCCGCGUGGGGGAUGAAGCAUUUCGGUGUGUAAACCCCUGUUGCCCGGGACGAACAAGCAGAUUUUUCUGCUCUGACGGUACCGGGUGAGGAAGCACCGGCUAACUCCGUGCCAGCAGCCGCGGUAAUACGGAGGGUGCGAGCGUUGUCCGGAAUCACUGGGCGUAAAGGGCGCGUAGGCGGUCUGCUAAGCGUGCGGUGAAAGCCCGGGGCUCAACCCCGGGUCUGCCGUGCNAACUGGUGGACUAGAGCACUGUAGAGGCAGGUGGAAUUCCGGGUGUAGCGGUGGAAUGCGUAGAGAUCCGGAAGAACACCGGUGGCGAAGGCGGCCUGCUGGGCAGUAGCUGACGCUGAGGCGCGACAGCGUGGGGAGCAAACA